GCCCUUAUAGCUCAGCUGGUACGAGCGUGCGACUGAAGAUCGCAAGGUCACCUGUUCGACCCAGGUUGAGGGCA
rnacentral:tRNA from 1 species